AUUUUAAGCUAAAUAUACAGAGAAAACAUAGAAACCCAUUUUUAGGAUCAAGUGAAAUAUAGAUUUUCUCGACGUAAGUCCUUGACGAAAGUUGUUCUACGCGUUGGGCUCAUCAUCGUGGUAUAAUUUAUUUUAUCGAUUGUGUAGCAUAUCACAUUUUAGAGUUGAGACAGCAGGGGUUUGAAUAUAUUUGAAGGUUUUGAGGUGAAUUACGAACCUAAGAUCGAGUAUCGAGGGAGUUAUGAGUUAAAGUCUUUAGGCCACGUGAAUUUAGCGAAAAAGGUCCUGACAGACGACUGAGUAGACCUCCUCAGCAGCAG